CAAAUUGUUCUGUGAGCAAGGGCUGGGCCCGAGCAGAGAGACUGCGGGUUCUAGGGGGCAAUGCUUCACGCCUACCUCCCCUGGCGGGCCGCAAUGCAUGCUGGGAAUCGUAGUUUCUAUGGGGGUCCGCGUAACUUGUAAGUUGGGGCGCUUGGCCCGUAGGCCAGACUCGGAGCGGGGCUGAACCUCAGCCCCACCACGUUAGUGGGGGUGAGGGGAACAACGUGCCGCAGCCAGGGGUUCUGCUACUUGAAUGCACAGACUUCAGCAGAACCACAUGAUGCAAGGGGCAUCUUCACAGAUGGUCUUCACCUCUGCUCUGCUGCCUGAUGCUGUUGCUGGCCUCGUUCUUCCAGCUCCUCAAGUUGUGGCUGCACCUAAAUUAAAAGGAACUGCCAUGCCAGUGAUCCAGUUAAUUUGGUGUCCAUGUUCAUAAAAUCCAGACUGUUUUCAGGAGCCAUGCUACAGAAGAUGGACAACAGUUUGCACAGCUUCCAGAAGCCUCUUUAUGGAGCUGUGUGAGAACUUUGCUUUGUUUAUGCUUUUGUUUUGUUUCAGCUUCUGUUGUCAGAUCCAGUUUUAAAACUCCAAAAGAGUUAAGUGCACCAAAAGAGGAGGCUGCAAUUGUAGAAAAAGACUGCACUCUCCCCAUGAUGGGUAGCCCACAGGGACAAGCACAGCCCCCAAAGUCCUGGCUGGGAAGGUGUGUGGCUAGGGCAGCUAGAAGAUGCACUUAAUCAUUGUGUUCCUUCGAGACUUCUGCCAGUGAAGUUUUCUGGAGCCUACCAAUAUAAUUUAUAGCUGCUAUCUCCAAUGAAACUUCCAAAGGAGGGCAGUGCAGAAAACAGUGCCUGCCCUCCCAUGAAUCCACCUGGAUGUAGAGACCCCCAGUGGUGCAGGAGCAAACUAAAGAGGGGUGAUCUGGCAUACAAAAUAUAUUCAACAUCCUCUGAAUUGAACAGUUAUUAAAGUUUCCUUCUGGUGAUAGCAAAACAUUCUGUACACUAUGAAAAAUAAUGCUCCAAUAUCUGUUUCUAAUAAAGUUAUGGCUGGAUGGAUUCAUAAAACAAACUUCUUUUUAUUGAUAAAAAUGACCCAUAUGCUAUAAUAAAGAAAAAGUAUAUUAUACAUAUAAGUGCUUUGUAGCAAAGUGUACUCUGAUCAGAGUCAAAAUUGUUCUUGUUGUCAAAGGGAAGAAAUGUGACUGAGAGAUUGGAAAUCUAUUGAAAUAGCUCAAUUGAUGUGUUGCUACAGUUUUUAGGCAAACUGCUAGUCCAUCUGUUAAUAACAACUUAAUAAAACCAAGGAAUCAGUAUAUUCCUUUUUCCAUGACAAGAUGACUUACUGUUUCAUAAAUACCAAUGUAAUGUUUUAUUUGGUUCUGCAAUCCCUGGUUUUGCUCUUGAUCCCACAUAUUUUAACAGUUUGGGCAAAAUAUGAGAUGACUUUAUCCCUUUCCUUUCAACAUUUGUUUUGAGGUGUGAUCAAUGCCUUCUGCCUUGCCGUUAAAUAGAUUUUGAAAAACUCGUUAA